rnacentral:rRNA from 1 species
CGGACGGGUGAGUAAUGUCUGGGAAACUGCCUGAUGGAGGGGGAUAACUACUGGAAACGGUAGCUAAUACCGCAUAACGUCGCAAGACCAAAGAGGGGGACCUUAGGGCCUCUUGCCAUCGGAUGUGCCCAGAUGGGAUUAGCUAAUAGGUGGGGUAAAGGCUCACCUAGGCGACGAUCCCUAGCUGGUCUGAGAGGAUGACCAGCCACACUGGAACUGAGACACGGUCCAG